AACGCAUCUUGCGCUCUUUGGUAUUCCGAAGAGCAUGCCUGUUUGAGUGUCAUGAAACUCUCAACUCCACAAGUUUUGUAAUGAGAUUUGUGUGAGCUUGGAUCUUGAGUGUUGCAGGUGUUACAACCAGCUCAUUCGAAAUACAUUAGCGAUCACGCAUUUGGCGUUGGUUUGACUUGAAGUGAUAGUAAUACAUUUCCUUCAAGGACACUUCCCUUUAAACGGACAGUGACCACACCCUUUGCCAGAACGCUCAUAAAACCCCAAUUUAUAUCAUGAUUAGACCUCAAAUCAGGUAGGACUACCCGCUGAACUUAA
rnacentral:misc_RNA from 1 species